rnacentral:snRNA from 1 species
GUGCUCACUUCAGCAGCACAUAUACUGAAAUCGGAACAAUACAGAGAAAAUUAACAUGGCCCCUGUGCGAGGAUGACACAAAUUCAUGAAGUGUUUCAUAAAAAA